rnacentral:rRNA from 1 species
CCUACGGGAGACAGCAGUGAGGAAUAUUGGUCAAUGGGCGCGAGCCUGAACCAGCCAAGUAGCGUGAAGGAUGACUGCCCUAUGGGUUGUAAACUUCUUUUAUAUGGGAAUAAAGUGCAGUAUGUAUACUGUUUUGCAUGUACCUUAUGAAUAAGGAUCGGCUAACUCCGUGCCAGCAGCCGCGGUAAUACGGGGGAUCCGAGCGUUAUCCGGAUUUAUUGGGUUUAAAGGGAGCGUAGGGGGGUUGUUAAGUGAGUUGUGAAAGUUUGCGGCUAAACCGUAAAAUUGCAGUUGAUACUGCAUCCUUGAGUACAGUAGAGGUAGGCGGAAUUCGUGGUGUAGCGGUGAAAUGCUUAGAUAUCACGAAGAACUCCGAUUGCGAAGGCAGCUUGCUGGACUGUAACUGACGCUGAGGCUCGAAAGUGUGGGUAUCAAACAGGAUUAGAUACCCCGGUAGUC